rnacentral:rRNA from 1 species
GAUGAACGCUAGCGGCAGGCUUAACACAUGCAAGUCGAGGGGCAGCACGAGUAGCAAUACUUGGUGGCGACCGGCGCAAGGGUGCGUAACGCGUGAGCAACAUGCCCGUAUCAGGGGGAUAAUCCAGGGAAACUUGGUCUAAUACCCCAUAGUAAUCAUAUCAGGCAUCUGGUAUGAUUUAAAGCUUAGGUGGAUACGGAUUGGCUCGCGUGACAUUAGCUAGAUGGUAAGGUAACGGCUUACCAUGGCUAUGAUGUCUAGGGGUUCUGAGAGGAAGGUCCCCCACACUGGAACUGAGACACGGUCCAGACUCCUACGGGAGGCAGCAGUGAGGAAUAUUGGACAAUGGAUGGAAAUCUGAUCCAGCCAUGCCGCGUGAAGGACGACGGUCCUAUGGAUUGUAAACUUCUUUUAUACGGGAAUAAAGUGCCCCACGCGUGGGGUUUUGCAUGUACCGUAUGAAUAAGGAUCGGCUAACUCCGUGCC